UGGGGAAUAUUGCACAAUGGGCGAAAGCCUGAUGCAGCAACGCCGCGUGAGUGAUGAAGGUCUUCGGAUUGUAAGGCUCUGUCUUUUGGGACGAUAAUGACGGUACCAAAGGAGGAAGCCACGGCUAACUACGUGCCAGCAGCCGCGGUAAUACGUAGGUGGCGAGCGUUGUCCGGAUUUACUGGGCGUAAAGGGUGCGUAGGCGGAUGUUUAAGUGAGAUGUGAAAUACCCGGGCUUAACUUGGGUGCUGCAUUUCAAACUGGAUAUCUAGAGUGCAGGAGAGGAGAAUGGAAUUCCUAGUGUAGCGGUGAAAUGCGUAGAGAUUAGGAAGAACACCAGUGGCGAAGGCGAUUCUCUGGACUGUAACUGACGCUGAGGCACGAAAGCGUGGGUAGCAAACAGGAUUAGAUACCCUGGUAGUCCACGCCGUAAACGAUGAGUACUAGGUGUAGGAGGUAUCGACCCCUUCUGUGCCGCAGUAAACACAUUAAGUACUCCGCCUGGGAAGUACGAUCGCAAGAUUAAAACUCUAAAGUGAA
rnacentral:rRNA from 1 species